rnacentral:rRNA from 1 species
GAUGAACGCUGGCGGCGUGCCUAAUACAUGCAAGUCGAGCGAACAGAUAAGGAGCUUGCUCCGUUGACGUUAGCGGCGGACGGGUGAGUAACACGUGGGUAACCUACCUAUAAGACUGGGAUAACUUCGGGAAACCGGAGCUAAUACCGGAUAACAUUUGGAACCGCAUGGUUCUAAAGUGAAAGAUGGUUUUGCUAUCACUUAUAGAUGGACCCGCGCCGUAUUAGCUAGUUGGUAAGGUAACGGCUUACCAAGGCGACGAUACGUAGCCGACCUGAGAGGGUGGUCGGCCGCACUGGAGCUGGAACGCGGUCCAGACUCCUACGGGAGGCAGCAGUAGGGAAUGUGCCGCAAUAGGCGAGAACCUUGCGGAGCAGCGCCGCGUGAGUGGUGAAGGGGUUCGGUUCGUAAAACUCGGUUAUUAGGGAAGAACAGAUGUGUAAGGAGCUGUGCACGUCUUGACGGUACCUAAUCAGAAAGCCACGGCUAACUACGUG